AAGUUUCAUAUGGGCCACUGUUUUCUUCAGAAUUAGCCCCAGUUGCAUUAUCUUUUCAGGAAAAUAUUAGGAAGAAACUACAGACUCUUACCAGCAUGAGCUUUAUAAGACUGAAUUAUGACAUAUACUGAAUGAGACAGGUGACACAAAAAUAAAAUAUAUAAUAUACGAGCUGGUAUUAAACAACUUUCACUGCUACAGAACACUUUUCACACAUCGCAUGCAUCACAUUUCACUCCUCUCCGUCUCCCUCUGACAGAUACAGUCACUUUUCUUGCUUGGUAACCUGAUCCAGCUGUUUUUUCCAGAGGGCAGCUGUAACCAUAGUAACAGCCUGUAUAAUUCAACAGCCCGCAGUGGUGAAAACAUGGAGCGGGUAAGAAGUUUUGACGUUGGUUGGGAACUGUUUUCCAUUUGUAUAGUAACCCUAAUGUCCUCAUGUCUUCCCCCAGGAUUGUAUCGCUGGUCUGUACCAGUCCCUGGGUAAGUCCACCGGAGCAGAGUUCUCCUCUGAAGACGUGAGUCUCCUCUACCACAAAGUGUUUCACGUUCCCUUCGACACUGAUGAGGCGCACGCAGCCAUGAGGAAGGUAACUCAGACAUAUUUGGAACAGCUCACGAUCAAGGCUGCUAUCGUUUGAUCAAAACCACAUUAUGUUUCAGAUUGCAGGAGAUGACAGGAGCUGGUCCUGCGUCGGUGAAAGUGUGUUGGAUGUUCUCUUAGAAAUGGAGAGAGAGAGGGACAAGAAGCAAAAGCUGUACUGGGACCUCCAGCUGCUUAAUGGAAAUCUCAACCCUCUCCAUUCGAUUGACAAGCCAGUCAUCAUCGUGCACCGAAGCUCAGAACCGAACACUCUCAAAACAGCUCAUGACCCAUCAGAUUCAGGACCUGCACAGUCGUGCACCUCUGACACAGGCGGUUUACAGAGGGAGAGACUGAUGGAGGAUAGAGAGCUGGACGGCAGCUUGAGGGCAGCAAAGAGGCUCAAGAAGGCAGCCAGGCAGUGCUGGGCCAGAUUGGCAUCAGAGGGCGUGCAAGGUAUAUUAUUGCCCUCUCCGUGGCAGACACGAAGCCCAGCGGUUAGAGGUCAGGCCUGGGGCUGUGUCACGCUGUCAGACGUCCUCCUCCUGGUGGAGGUGAAGUACGAUGUGGUGACCCACUUGCUCUUUACAGAAAUGCUCCAGGAGCACUACACUCCCAGUAUCUGGGAGACCAUGCUGCCAUGGCAACAACAGGAGGAAGAACAGGAACUAGAGGAUCGAGCUAAGGAUGCUAUGGAGUCGGGUGACAUGCUCCGUCUGGCUGAGCUGCCUGGAGCAUUCAGGAUAUACAGGGCCGGCCGGGGAGUGUCUCCUACAAGUCGUCCUGAGUCCAGGGAACAGUCCUGGUCUGCUGUCACGCUCCUGUGCGAGUUGGACACAUUUCGUCAGGAAGAACGGGACGCACUCACGGUCCUGGGCGAGAGGCUCGACAGGGAGAGCCUGACACUGCUGUGUCUAUACAUCAGGGUGGCAACUCUCAGAGCUCAGAGAGAGAAAAUGUCCUGCAGCGCUCUUCUGGCAGCUCGGCAGUCCUGGGAGACAUGGCCAAAUGUGAGGAGUCCGUGCAGAGCAGAUGAGGCAGCCCUGUGGCUACGUGGUGGAGGGGAAGAGCGAAAGACAGACUCUAUCUCCGUGUCGCCACAGCAGGCAGUGCUGCAGUUGUUGGUGCUGACUCAGGAGCAGGAGAGGAAGCACCUGAUAAAGCUGGUACACGGGGUCUCCCUGGAGGACUUGCAAGAGUCAGGCUGCAGAGUGCCUCCGAAAGAGGAUAGUCACACGCAAGCCGCCUUAAAAAACGGCUGUGUGAAAAGGCUGCGACAAAUUCAUGCCGACCUGCGCGCACGCAAUGAGACUCAGAUCCCCUUGAUGCAAACGAACCCUCAGCCUCAACACCAGGCCAACACGUGGUCCCAACAACAGCUGGAGGAUUGUUCCCUGCUCCUCUUGACCCAUCUGAUGGAGCUCCAGGAGGUCCAAGCCUCUGCAGUUCUGCCAGCACUGACGGACAAGAGUGCACAGCGUGUCCAAGCUCUGCGAGAUGAGUUUGAAUCGCAACUUCAAGCGCAGCGCUACACCAACUCACUCCAACUCCUGAUCUCUGAUGCCUAUCCUUCUCCAAACUUCAACGAGAAUAGCAGCAAUGAGCAAAUCGCUACCCAGUCCUGCGGCAGCGGAGCAGUCGAUGCCCCAAGAAGCAGCGACCAGCCAGCUGAAGCUCUGAUGGUGGAUUCAAUCAGUGGUGACCGCCGAGAGCUGAAUGGAGUUCAGGCUGACAGACAGGACGUCUGUACAGGUUGUGGGGCGACCGUGGAGGAGCUGCCCUACUUGGAGAUCGUGUGUGUAUCAGAUGCAACAAGCCAUUCUCAUCAGAGUCCCGCUGCAGAGGGAGAAGCACAGGUAAAAGAGGAGGGCAGCGCAACAAAGAUCCCCCAGAGCUUCGAGAAGCAGGACUCACUGAUCACCCUCGCUUGGAGCAAACCACCAGAGGAUGACACGGAUUGCGAGGAACAGAGCCAGGGCGGCGAGGGCUGUAUGCAGACACAGGUCCAGCCAACCGAUAUAAGCAGCAUAGCUGAACACAGGCAGAGUGAGGAGACUUUUGGAGACAGAGAAGAUUUGAGGCCCACUCUGAUGUGGUCUGACUCCACAGGUCAUUCUGACCCACAGGCUGCAGACCAGCAGUGCAGCACAUUGACACUGGAGGGGAGAGCGGUAGCUGAAGAAACAGAGAAAGGAAAAGCAACACAUGCUUUGGUAGUGGAAACUGCGCAGCCACUCCUCUCAGCUGACCGUCCCGAGAUUAACCGGCUCGGCGGUGACCUCUGCGAUGAGACAGUUCAUGUAGAGAGAGACGGGGUUGAGGCGGAAACGUGUUCCUCUGCAACAGAGUCAGAGGCGUGGGACCUGAGAGGGCCUGACCGCACUCAAGCUGAGGAGCAGAAAUAUGCAGUUGACCGUAGCCCUGCCGAGAGAGAAGCCAUACUGAUGGAGCGAGAGCGAGCCAGAGAACCGGUCUCGGCAAUGGAGAGAGAAAGGACAAUGCGCAACCUGGUGGACAUGCAAAGAAAGGUGGAGCAGAGGCAGCAGAGAGAUCGAGAGAGACAGCUGCUGAGGGUUCAGGAACGUCUGUCGAUCAUUCAGAACAAAAAGGCAGAGGAAGACCUUCUCGGCCUAAAACACACCGACAGGCUCCGACACCUCACGCAAGAUCUGCCACAGGAGGAUAAGAACCAGCAGAAGACGGUCGUCAAAGAGCGACUCGAGCAGCUGAGAAGAGAGCGCUCCUAUGUCAUGCAGUCCAAACGAGACCGGAAUACUGCAGGAUUUAAGGAGCUCCUGGGCCCAGUAGCUCUCAACAGCAGAGAGACAGAUGAAGCAGCAGACUGA
ensembl:lncRNA